GACGAACGCUGGCGGCGUGCUUAACACAUGCAAGUCGAACGAUGAAGAAGAGAAACGCGAACUUCGGUUCAAAUUUCACUUCGGAUUAGUGGCAGACGGGUGAGUAACGCGUGAGCAACCUACCUCUUACAAAGGGAUAGCCUCGGGAAACCGUGAUUAAUACCAUAUGACACAUUCAUAAGGCAUCUUAAGAAUGUUAAAGCUACGGCGGUAAGAGAUGGGCUCGCGUCCCAUUAGCUAGUUGGUGAGGUAACGGCCCACCAAGGCGACGAUGGGUAACCGGCCUGAGAGGGUGAACGGUCACAUUGGAACUGAGACACGGUCCAAACUCCUACGGGAGGCAGCAGUGGGGAAUAUUGUACAAUGGAGGGAACUCUGAUGCAGCGACGCCGCGUGAGCGAUGAAAGAAUUCGUUUCGUAAAGCUCUGUUCUAUGGGAAGAAAAGGACUGUACCAUAGGAGAAAGCCCCGGCUAAAUACGUG
rnacentral:rRNA from 1 species